rnacentral:rRNA from 1 species
AAAUUGAAGAGUUUGAUCAUGGCUCAGAUUGAACGCUGGCGGCAGGCCUAACACAUGCAAGUCGAACGGUAACAGGAAGCAGCUUGCUGCUUUGCUGACGAGUGGCGGACGGGUGAGUAAUGUCUGGGAAACUGCCUGAUGGAGGGGGAGUAACUACUGGAAACGGUGGCUAAUACCGCAUAACGUCGCAAGACCAAAGA